rnacentral:sRNA from 1 species
AAUGUUAAAGAGGUGAUGGGUGGACGAUGAAGAACUAAUCUUAUUUUUUACAGUUUGAAAUUGCAUAUUUCAAAUGAAAUGAAAUAGGAUUAGUCUGCCCAUUUAUUGAUAUUUUAGACAUAAGCUAUUAUGCGUUGAUAGCUUAUUUGUAUGCGACUAAUCCUUCCAAAUAAUUGGGAGGAUUUUUU